rnacentral:rRNA from 1 species
GAUGAACGCUGGCGGCGUGCCUAAUACAUGCAAGUCGAGCGAACAGACGAGGAGCUUGCUCCUCUGACGUUAGCGGCGGACGGGUGAGUAACACGUGGAUAACCUACCUAUAAGACUGGGAUAACUUCGGGAAACCGGAGCUAAUACCGGAUAAUAUAUUGAACCGCAUGGUUCAAUAGUGAAAGACGGUUUUGCUGUCACUUAUAGAUGGAUCCGCGCCGCAUUAGCUAGUUGGUAAGGUAACGGCUUACCAAGGCAACGAUGCGUAGCCGACCUGAGAGGGUGAUCGGCCACACUGGAACUGAGACACGGUCCAGACUCAUACGGGAGGCAGCAGUAGGGAAUCUGCCGCAAAGGGCGAAAGCCUGACGGAGCAACGCCGCGUGAGUGAUGAAGGUCUUCGGAUCGUAAAACUCUGUUAUUAGGGAAGAACAAAUGUGUAAGUAACUAUGCACGUCUUGACGGUACCUAAUCAGAAAGCCACGGCUAACUACGUG